CUCCUUGGUUGGGGUCUGAGCAGAUUAUUUGUUGCAAUUGCAAACGUAAUAAAAUGGUGGUCCGAUAGUCCAGGAUUAUGAGGAAAAACAUUUAGAUCCACAACAUUUAUUCCAUGGGACAAAACUAGGUCCAGAGUAUGACUGUGGCAGUGAGUAGGUCCAGAGACAUGUUGGACAAAACCCACUGAGUCGAUGAUGGCUCCGAAAGCCUUUUGGAGUGGUUCACCACUGUAUUAACCUGUCACACUGAAGGCCUAUAGGUUCACCACUGUACUAACCUGUCACACUGAAGGCCUAUAGGUUCACCACUGUAUUAACCUGUCACACUGAAGGCCUAUAGUUUCACCACUGUGUUUAGAUAUUCAUGUUUCAUUGGAAGUUGAUAGUUGUUUGUUUUUUGCUUCGCUGGUUUCGGGAAGAAGUGAAAAGUCCUCACUGCCCGAGACCAAGUCAAGACCAAAUACAAAUGUAUCCGACACCGAGACAAGACCAAGACACUCAAUAUGUGGUCUCGAGACUGGACUCGAGUACUACAACACUGCUUUGUUGUUUCCAUCAAGUACACAACAUGU
rnacentral:lncRNA from 1 species